ACUCAGUGAAAUUGAACUCGCUAUGAAGAUGCAGUGUACCCGCGGCAAGACGGAAAGACCCCGUGAACCUUUACUAUAGCUUGACACUGAACAUUGAGCCUUGAUGUGUAGGAUAGGUGGGAGGCUUUGAAGUGUGGACGCCAGUCUGCAUGGAGCCGACCUUGAAAUACCACCCUUUAAUGUUUGAUGUUCUAACGUGGACCCGUAAUCCGGGUUGCGGACAGUGUCUGGUGGGUAGUUUGACUGGGGCGGUCUCCUCCUAAAGAGUAACGGAGGAGCACGAAGGUUGGCUAAUCCUGGUCGGACAUCAGGAGGUUAGUGCAAUGGCAUAAGCCAGCUUGACUGCGAGCGUGACGGCGCGAGCAGGUGCGAAAGCAGGUCAUAGUGAUCCGGUGGUUCUGAAUGGAAGGGCCAUCGCUCAACGGAUAAAAGGUACUCCGGGGAUAACAGGCUGAUACCGCCCAAGAGUUCAUAUCGACGGCGGUGUUUGGCACCUCGAUGUCGGCUCAUCACAUCCUGGGGCUGAAGUAGGUCCCAAGGGUAUGGCUGUUCGCCAUUUAAAGUGGUACGCGAGCUGGGUUUAGAACGUCGUGAGACAGUUCGGUCCCUAUCUGCCGUGGGCGCUGGAGAAUUGAGGGGGGCUGCUCCUAGUACGAGAGGACCGGAGUGGACGCAUCACUGGUGUUCGGGUUGUCAUGCCAAUGGCACUGCCCGGUAGCUAAAUGCGGAAGAGAUAAGUGCUGAAAGCAUCUAAGCACGAAACUUGCCCCGAGAUGAGUUCUCCCUGACUCCUUGAGAGUCCUGAAGGAACGUUGAAGACGACGACGUUGAUAGGCCGGGUGUGUAAGCGCAGCGAUGCGUUGAGCUAACCGGUACUAAUGAACCGUGAGGCUUAACCUUACAACGCCGAAGGUGUUU
rnacentral:rRNA from 1 species